rnacentral:rRNA from 1 species
GAUGAACGCUGGCGGCGUGCCUAAUACAUGCAAGUCGAGCGAACGGACGAGAAGCUUGCUUCUCUGAUGUUAGCGGCGGACGGGUGAGUAACACGUGGAUAACCUACCUAUAAGACUGGGAUAACUUCGGGAAACCGGAGCUAAUACCGGAUAAUAUUUUGAACCGCAUGGUUCAAAAGUGAAAGACGGUCUUGCUGUCACUUAUAGAUGGAUCCGCGCUGCAUUAGCUAGUUGGUAAGGUAACGGCUUACCAAGGCAACGAUGCAUAGCCGACCUGAGAGGGUGAUCGGCCACACUUGAACUGAGACACGGUCCAGACUCCUACGGGAGGCAGCAGUAGGGAAUCUUCCGCAAUGGGCGAAAGCCUGACGGGCAACGCCGCGUGAGUGAUGAAGGUCUUCGGAUCGUAAAACUCUGUUAUUAGGGAAGAACAUAUGUGUAAGUAACUGUGCACAUCUUGGCGGUACCUAAGCAGAAAGCCACGGGUAACUACGUG